AUGGACCGGUCAAAAGACCUGUCGGUGCUGCCCCCACUCCCCACUCUCUCUGCUCUUUCGCUCACUCCUCCUCUGUCUUGCUCCUCUGCUUUGCUCGCCGCACCCGCCGCCGCGUCGCCGCGCCCCCGCCGCGUCGCCAUGGUGUCCUGGAGCGAUGAGUCCGAUAGCAGCGAGCACACCGUGGAGUACGUCAGCUCAGGUUCUGACGACGGCAGAAUUAAGAUCCCUGCUACCACUGAAGACUCCGAUUUCGAGGGACUUGAAACGGAGUCGCUUGUUCUCUGCAAUGAACAUCAGAAGCCUGCAGAAAGGCGUGUUGCUUUCGAAGGAAUCCACACUGGCAGGAGGUUUCUUUGCUGUGCUGAGAAGGAAGGUGGAACUGUGGAUUAG
rnacentral:rRNA from 1 species